rnacentral:rRNA from 1 species
CACGUAGGCGGUUUGGUAAGUCGAAUGUGAAAUCUCACGGCUCAACCGUGAAACUGCGUUCGAAACUACCUGACUUGAGUACUGGAGAGGUAUGCGGAAUUCCUGGUGUAGCGGUGGAAUGCGUGGAUAUCAGGAAGAACACCAGUGGCGAAGGCGGCAUACUGGCCAAGUACUGACGCUCAGGUGCGAAAGCGUGGGGAGCAAACG